GUGGCAAAAUCGUAUUUUUAGCCAAUAAAAAAAAUAUAAACUAAUAUAAAUUUGCUGAGAUAGAGAUAUAGAGAUAUAGAAAGAUAAGAGUCAUAUAGACGCACGGCAGCCAGAGGAAAGAUUCAACAUUUUAUGGAUAGCAGAGGAGCAUGCAAGGAGGUUUCUGAUGAGCUGGCCAGGGAGUUGCUUAUUGCAAUUUCUCACCCUGUACCAGACCAGGUUCUUGAUCUGAGUUUCGUGCCUCGGGACAGGGUUCUUGUGGCAAAUGGGGAUGGGGAUGAGAAGUUUGUCUCUGAACUUAUGACCAUUUCUAAUGUGCCAUCCCCUGAUAUCAAAAACCUGAAACAAGCAAGCAUUUGCAAUUAGCAAUGCUGCAUUCUUCAUGGAAAAUGGAAAUACCCUUACCCUUAUAAGAUAUUGUAAUUAUUUGUUAUUGUUUUUCAACUACUACUGUUAUAUGAAUAAAAGACACACAGAGUCUAAUCGCAUCAAGAAGCUUCUGGUGAUCAGUGUAAUAAACCUUCAUAUUAUAAAGAUGAGAAUGGCAAUUGGACCUAAUGGUUCUUGGUUUCU